GAUGAACGCUGGCGGCGUGCCUAAUACAUGCAAGUCGAGCGAAAAGACGAGGAGCUUGUUCCUCUGACGUUAGCGGAGGACGGGAGAGUAACACGUGGAUAACCUACUUAUAAGUGUGGGAUCACUUCGGGAAACGGGCGCUAAUCCCGGAUAAUCUCUUGAACCGCAUGGUUCAUUGGUGAAAGACGGUUUUGCGGUCUCUUCUCGCUGGAUCCGCGCCGCAUUAGCUGGUUUGUAAGGUCACGGCUUACCAAGGCAACUAUGCGUAGCCGAACUGAUAGGCGGAUAGGCGACACGGGAACUGAGACGCGGUCCAUACGCCUACGGGAGGCAGCAGUAGCGAAUCGGCCGCAGUAGGCGAAAGCUUGACGGAGCAACGCCGCGUGAGUGAUGAAGGCCUUCGGAGCGGAAAACUCUGUUAUGAGUGAAGAACAAAUGUGGAAGGAACUAAGCACGUCGUGACGGUACCGGGUCAGAAAGCCACGGCUAACUACGUG
rnacentral:rRNA from 1 species